AUUAGAGUUUGAUCAUGGCUCAGAUUGAACGCUGGCGGCAUGCCUUACACAUGCAAGUCGAACGGUAGAGGGGCAACCCUUGAGAGUGGCGAACGGGUGAGUAAUACAUCGGAACGUGCCCAGUCGUGGGGGAUAACGUAGCGAAAGCUACGCUAAUACCGCAUACGACCUGAGGGUGAAAGCGGGGGAUCGCAAGACCUCGCGCGAUUGGAGCGGCCGAUGGCAGAUUAGGUAGUUGGUGGGGUAAAGGCCUACCAAGCCUGCGAUCUGUAGCUGGUCUGAGAGGACGACCAGCCACACUGGGACUGAGACACGGCCCAGACUCCUACGGGAGGCAGCAGUGGGGAAUUUUGGACAAUGGGCGAAAGCCUGAUCCAGCCAUACCGCGUGCGGGAAGAAGGCCUUCGGGUUGUAAACCGCUUUUGUCAGGGAAGAAAUCUUCUGGGCUAAUACCUCGGGAGGAUGACGGUACCUGAAGAAUAAGCACCGGCUAACUACGUGCCAGCAGCCGCGGUAAUAAU
rnacentral:rRNA from 1 species